CAACAGUUCCUGUUUUUAAAAGAAUGAACUAUUUCAUGUUCUAUUUAUCAAACAGUGCCACAAUUGUUCAGAAUGAAUCACAUUUUUACAUAUUUAUUGUUCCAUAUGUCUGAAAGUAACAUUGAUCUCUCUAGCAUUAAAUUAAAGCAGACAGAAGACGUUCUGAAAGAAAAUCAUUGUGCAGUCAUCAAGCCCAUUCCACAUUAAAAUGAUCACUGAUACAUUGUUAAUCAAUACUCUGAUAAAGUGAUUGAUCCAUUGAGAAACAGCAUCAUCAGAGUAAUCCAAGUCCCUGUUGGAGUCAGUCAGAGCAUUUCCAUAGAGAGCCACUUUGCAUCAGCAGCACCAUGCUCCAGUGCUCUGGGAGAGUUUAUAGUCCUGAGAGUUGAACACUGGAUGACUGACAGCUGUCCUUCAUGACAACAGAAGACACAGAAAUCCUCCUCAUCAAAAACAUGACUUUGAUCUCCGUCCUCAUCUGGACUCUCCUCUGCUUCACUCAGGGGUCUGUUGGACAGAAUGUUGUUGUGACUCAGCCAGCAGCCAAAUCAGUCCAACCGGGACAAACUGUUUCUAUUGAAUGUAAAGCCAGUACACAAGUUGCUCAGUACUCUGGUGCACAAUACUUCCUGGCCUGGUACCAUCAGAAAACUGGAGAAGCUCCUAAACCUCUGAUCUACAGAACAUCAGACAGACAAUCUGGAAUCUCCUCCAGAUUCAGUGGAAGUGGAGCAGGGAAUGGAAUUGACUUCACUCUGACCAUCAGUGGAGUCCAGGCUGAAGAUACAGGAGUUUACUACUGUAAGAGUUAUCAUUAUAUCAACAGUCAGUUGUUGUUCACACAGUGAAAAAGCGUCGUACAAAAACCUCCCUCAGUCAGACUGAACAGAAACUGAACUGACUGCUGCAGCUGGAAGCUACUGCAGAGACUGAUACAGUUCACUGAAGCAACCCAGACAUGUUA